ACGGAAACGAGGUAAUAUUUACUUUGUGUUUAUAAGGUGUGUAUUUUCCUCCACAUUUUCAUGAUUGUGAUGAUCUUUUAACUUUCGAGCCCUGCAAAAUCAAGAUAUGCUUUGCAUAAGCAUUUUGUUCUAAGUUUAGUAUUAUUGUGCUUCAAAGUUUGAUUUUAGCUUGAUUGUCUCACUUUCAUGCAAAUGUGGUGCCCUGUUAUCAGCAUUAAAAACACUACACAUUUAUGUGUGUUGUUGUUAAUGUUUUAUGAGCAACACUAAUAUAGAAAUGUGGAGAUUUCAAAUUCUUCCCAAUAAUCUGAGGGUGGGGUGGGGAGUUGGGGAAAAACCGUUUUGUCUUUUCUGCUCAAGGUUUAUGAAGGAUCCAACAGUCCUUAUCAGGACUACACAGUCCUUAUCAGGACUACACAGUCCUUAUCAGGACUACACUGUCCUUUUCAGGACACCUUCAGAAUGAACUUGAAAAUAUUUGGUGCUCCUGCUCCAAAUGUAGCAACUCUUGCCGCUGACUCAAGAGGCUCAAACAAGCGCCCUGCCCGAAAUACUCAAAAACCAAAACGGAUCAGAAACUCCUACGAAUUUCUAACACCCUAAUUUUUAUUUUUUGUUAUCAGAACUUUUUCUAUUAUCAGGGAUUGGCCUUUUAAAAGAUUCUUUGACUUUUCUUUAAUCUUUAUAAGAAUUUUCACUCAACUUAUUUGAGUUCCAUUUGUUCAUCAUUAUUUUAGAGUGUUCUUUGCUUGUAAUUUUAUUGUCCUUUUGUUUUUCAAUUCAGUCCAUUCUUGUACUUUGCGUUUGGAUGCUUUUGUUCUGAAAGUUUACAUCAAGUACUCGACUUUUCUACUUAAUUAUCGGUAUGUAAAUUUGUUGAAAUGAACGUCUUGUAAAUUUUAAAAGAAGACUUUUUGUAAUUACAUUUUCUUGUUGCAUUA